rnacentral:sRNA from 1 species
AUGAAUCUCAAGAUAUCCACCGUGCUCUCUCUCUUCUGUCAA